rnacentral:sRNA from 1 species
GCACCAGCAAAAUCUGGUGCCGGGAUUGGCGUCCUGAUAAUGUACAAGGCGACACACGACGCGCCUAGCGUCUUUUUU